rnacentral:rRNA from 1 species
AACGAACGCUGGCGGCGUGCCUAACACAUGCAAGUCGAGCGCGAAUGGAGCAAUCCUAGUAGAGCGGCGCACGGGUGCGUAACACGUGGGUAAUCUGCCUCAAACGCCGGGAUAACCUGCCGAAGGCAGCUAAUACCGGAUAAGCCUACGGACUCGUUCGGGGUCUGAAGGAAAGGUGGCCUCUGUAUACAAGCUAUCUACUUUGAGAUGACGCCCGCCGGCCCAUCAGCUCGUUGGCGGGGUAACGGCCCACCAAGGCAACGACGGGUAGCUGGUCUGAGAGGACGAUCAGCCACACUGGAACUGAGACACGGUCCAGACUCCUACGGGAGGCAGCAGUGGGGAAUAUUGGGCAAUGGGCGCAAGCCUGACCCA